AUGCAACGCGAAGAACCUUACCUGGUCUUGACAUCCUACGGAAGUUUUCAGAGAUGAGAAUGUGCCUUCGGAACCGUGAGACAGGUGCUGCAUGGCUGUCGUCAGCUCGUGUUGUGAAAUGUUGGGUUAAGUCCCGUCAACGAGCGCAACCCCUGCAUUUAGUUGCCAUCGGUACGGCCGGGCACUCUAGAUGGACUGCCGGCGACAAGCCGGAGGAAGGUGGGGAUGACGUCAAGUCAUCAUGGCCCUUAUGUCCAGGGCGACACACGUGCUACAAUGGCCGGCACAGCGGGAAGCGAAUGGGCGACCAUGAGCGGAUCCCCAUAAAAGCCGGUCCCAGUUCGGAUUGCAGUCUGCAACUCGACUGCAUGAAGUUGGAAUCGCUAGUAAUCGCGGAUCAGCCAAGCCGCGGUGAAUACGUUCCCGGGCCUU
rnacentral:rRNA from 1 species